GUCGGGGUGGUCUAGUGGCUAGGACGUCAGUCUCACACACUGAAGGUCGCGAGUUCGAACCUCGCCUCCGACA
rfam:Galdieria sulphuraria unplaced genomic scaffold scaf_32, whole genome shotgun sequence.